AGCAUAUCAAUAAGCGGAGGAAAAGAAACCAACAGGGAUUGCCCUAGUAACGGCGAGUGAAGCGGCAACAGCUCAAAUUUGAAAUCUGGCUCUCUUUGGGGGUCCGAGUUGUAAUUUGCAGAGGAUGCUUUGGUAUUGUCGGCGGUCUAAGUUCCUUGGAACAGGACAUCACAGAGGGUGAGAAUCCCGUACGUGGUCGCCUGCCUUUACCGUGUAAAGCUCCUUCGACGAGUCGAGUUGUUUGGGAAUGCAGCUCUAAAUGGGAGGUAAAUUUCUUCUAAAGCUAAAUACCGGCCAGAGACCGAUAGCGCACAAGUAGAGUGAUCGAAAGAUGAAAAGUACUUUGGAAAGAGAGUCAAAAAGCACGUGAAAUUGUUGAAAGGGAAGCGCUUGCAGCCAGACUUGCCCGCAGUUGCUCACCUAGGCUUUUGCCUGGGGCAUUCUUCUGCGGGCAGGCCAGCAUCAGUUUGGGCGGUUGGAUAAAGGCCUCUGUCACGUAUCUCCCUUCGGGGUGACCUUAUAGGGGAGGCGUAAUGCAACCAGCCCGGACUGAGGUCCGCGCAUCUGCUAGGAUGCUGGCGUAAUGGCUGUAAGCGGCCCGUCUUGAAACACGGACCAAGGAGUCUAACAUCUAUGCGAGUGUUUGGGUGUCAAGCCCGAGCGCGUAAUGAAAGUGAACGGAGGUGGGAACCUUUUAGGUGCACCAUCGACCGAUCCUGAUGUCUUCGGAUGGAUUUGAGUAAGAGCAUAGCUGUUGGGACCCGAAAGAUGGUGAACUAUGCUUGAAUAGGGUGAAGCCAGAGGAAACUCUGGUGGAGGCUCGCAGCGGUUCUGACGUGCAAAUCGAUCGUCAAAUUUGGGCAUAGGGGCGAAAGACUAAUCGAACCAUCUAGUAGCUGGUUCCUGCCGAGUUUUCC
rnacentral:rRNA from 1 species